rnacentral:rRNA from 1 species
UACGUAGGGUGCAAGCGUUAAUCGGAAUUACUGGGCGUAAAGCGUGCGCAGGCGGUUGGGCAAGACAGAUGUGAAAUCCCCGGGCUCAACCUGGGAACUGCAUUUGUGACUGCAUCGCUGGAGUGCGGCAGAGGGGGAUGGAAUUCCGCGUGUAGCAGUGAAAUGCGUAGAUAUGCGGAGGAACACCGAUGGCGAAGGCAAUCCCCUGGGCCUGCACUGACGCUCAUGCACGAAAGCGUGGGGAGCAAACAGG